rnacentral:rRNA from 1 species
UACGGUAGGGGGCAAGCGUUUGUCCGGAAUCAUUGGGCGUAAAGCGCGCGUAGGCGGCCCGAUAAGUCCGCUGUAAAAGUCCAGGGCUCAACCCUGGAAAGCCGGUGGAUACUGUCGGGCUAGAGUCCGGAAGAGGCGAGUGGAAUUCCUGGUGUAGCGGUGGAAUGCGUAGAUAUCUGGAGGAACACCGGUGGCGAAGGCAGCAUCCUGGGCCAACACUGACACUGAGGAGCGAAAGCCAGGGGAGCAAACGGG